rnacentral:tRNA from 1 species
UCCCUGAUAGCUGAGUUGGUAAAGAAUUUGCUGCAAAGCAGAAGACCCUGGUUUGAUUCCUGGUUUAGGAA